AUUGAACGCUGGCGGCAGGCCUAACACAUGCAAGUCGAACGAGUGGCGGACGGGUGAGUAAUGUCUGGGCACCUGCCCGAUGGAGGGGGAUAACUACUGGAAACGGUAGCUAAUACCGCAUACCAUCGGAUGUGCCCAGGUGGGAUUAGCUAGUGGGUGGGGUAAUGGCUCACCUAGGCGAAGCUCCCUAGCUGGUCUGAGAGGAUGAAGAGCCACACUGGAACUGAGAAACGUGCCAUACGCCUACGGGAGGAAGCAGUGGGGAAUAUUGCACAAGGGGCGAAAGCCUGAUGCAGCAAUGCCGCGUGUAUGAAGAAGGCCUUCGGUUUGUAAAGUACUUUCAGCGAGGAGGCGUUACUCGCAGAAGAAGCACCGGCUAACUCCGUGCCAGCCGCCGCGGUAAUUC
rnacentral:rRNA from 1 species